AAGAAGAACAACAAAAACAAUAAUAAAUGAUGUGCUGCGAUAUUAACUAUGAGAGAUUAAUUGUUGAUGUUGAUGGAUGGGACAAUUUGUACAGCAAGAUGUAAAAUUGUGGACAAUUUUAAAAGGUUGGACAAGGUUGCUUUCCAUGAAUCGAGAUAAUUUCAAGGAUUGUGCUUUAAUUUCAACUAUAAAUGAUAUCUACAGUUGAAAUCUACUGUUGAUAAUCAUCAUUCAAUCUUCGAUUGUUAACGAUUUAAUCUUUCUGAUAGGAUGCCAAAUGCAAUUGAUACAUCAUCAUAAUUUGAACUAUCAUUAAGAGAAUCGGUUGUUCAUCGUUGGUUUGCACAUAAAAACAUGAUCAAUUCAAA